AUGUUCGGCGUCCGGUCGCGGGGCAUCACCUUCGGCCCUUGGAAGCACCAAGGCGACCACCCAUGGAUGAAUCAUCCCCCCAUCUACCUCCCCGUCGGCAAGAAGCUGUUCACCCUGAGCACGGCGUCCUUCGAGAUGCUCUCCUUGGAGCAUAUCAUCUACCCCCCGGCUUCAUAUUGCAGCAUGGAUCGUAGCCUCCGCUGGUCGUGGGAGCAGCUCCGCAGGCAGCCAUUUAAGGUCGAUGACGUCGCCUCCUACACCUUGCACGCUGACAAGCGCACCUUCCUCAUCAGCACCAGGACGGAUGCCGCCGCGGCCACCUUCGCCUUCGACACAAAGGCGCUAUCGUGGAAACUACUCGGCAAUUGGGCGCUGCCCUUUGCCGGCCGCGGCCACUUCGUCCCACACCUCAGGGCCUUCGUCGGGCUCUCCAAAGACCCGGACACCCUCGGCCAACUCUACUCUUGCGAUGUGCCCAGCUUUGAUGAUGCCGGUGAUGGGCAGUGCCCUGCUCCUGCGUCAAGGGUCUGCAAUGAGAAGCUGUUCAGCGACAACCCGGCUGAGAGGCAUGUAAGCGCUACCCUCGUCGACAUGCGAUGCGAUGGUGAAUUCUGCCUCGUAGAGCGCGUCUUCGUUGCCGCUGAUCAGGCCCUCGUUGAGGAGGGAGAUGCGCGCCUACCUGGUCGCUGUUUCUAUCGUGUCGCCACAUUCUUUCUCACGUAUGGAAUGAAUGGAGACCUGACGACUCGCAAGAGCCGACAGGUGCAAUACUACCAAGUGCCUGAAGCAACCUCUAAGUUGUUCCUCGCUGAAGAUCCCGUGGCAUUUUGGAUGUAA
rnacentral:rRNA from 1 species